rnacentral:lncRNA from 1 species
CAGCUAUUUAAGGGGUUUAUGUUUGGACAUUUAAGUGUGUAUAUAAACACACUCAUACAUGUGUUGUACAAUAAAUUUCUUCUAAUAACUAAUUUGUGUUCCUCAGCAUCUGCUUUCUCCAGGGGAACAAUUUCCAAGAAUUGUGCUAAGUAGGUUUUGUUUCCUGUUCCUUUCAGGGGAAGCUCGGAUUCUGGUCUCUUUAUUGUUUACAAUCUCAGUAGUGCCACAGAGCAGCACUGACUAGCUGUGGCUGUGAAUGUGCAUCCCAUGUAAUCUCAGGGUAACUCCUGGUCCUUUAGCAUGUUCUGCUUUGUCUCACCAGUUCUCAGCGGGGUGCUUGUGCAUACCUCCAUACCCAGGACUUGGCCUAAUAGUUCUGAGAAAAAGCAAUAAACGAAGACACCAAUUCUCAAGUGAAUAA